rfam:Brassica napus, WGS project CCCW01000000 data, contig: 15979
GGAAUAUAAGAAUCCGUCUCUUAAUUUUUAGCUAAAAAAGUUAAGAAUCGGUUCUUAAAUAAGAGUUUUAAGAGCCGGUUCUUAACUUUUUUAAUUAAAAGUUAAGAGACGGGUUCUUAUAUUCC